AUGAUAAAUAGCUGGCGAAAGUAUUAUUGUUGACGCACUUAGUGUUCUGUUUGUUUUACUUCCUUUAGUUGUAGGAGUGGAGAGUACGAGUGGGUUGAGGACAUCGGAAACAGUGCAGCGUUAAGAGCAAGGAAAGGAGGAGCCAUCUUUGGCUUAGAACAGAAGCAGUGGUACAGUUGCCUGCAGGAAGUCGGCUAUAACCAUCAAACUAACAGCCAACAGAAUCGGAUAGAGACUGAGAGAAUUGGGAUUGGGGCGGGGUCUUGGCUGUAUAAAGCCAGCCUCGAAUCCAGUUCAGAGGGGACACUACCAGGGAGAAGGUUGUAGAGCAAGAGAUGGUGUUUCUGAAAGAUUUCGUGGCAGUCUUCCCCUCUGGAGAGUAAAUCUUAUUCCCAGCCUUGCACUCCAGGCAUGUGGCCUCGACUCCUUGCAGGCAACUCUCUGAGAGCCAGGGAAGACCCCUGACCCCCUCUGCAUGGUUCUUUCUUUUUUAUGUUUCCAGCAUUCCAGUCUCCCCCCGUGAGGGAAGUGAAGCUCGUAACACGCCUUGGAAGUGUGGCCACGCCGACCUCCCUGAGCAAAGGUGACUCUUGAAAACUGGGAAGACCAAGGGAAAACCCUGUCCUCUUUUCGACAUAACAAGCACUUUCUUCCCAUUUCAACUCACAUAGCCCUUGCUCCUGUCCUGUGAACUUGCUGUUGCAAUUUGUGAUGAUAUAAGUUAUUACUUUCUUAGUAAUUUACAUCGCAUUCUGCUGUUGAUGUUUACUGCUUAGCUCAAUCCAGACGGUUGUCAUGCUGAUGUGCUGGGAAGACCUCACUGUGGUUGGUCCCCGGAGCCAGCAUCGCUGCUGUUGUGCGUGCUGAUACGCUGGGGAGGAAAAAUAAACUGAUCCCUGGAGCC